rnacentral:rRNA from 1 species
UACAGAGGGGGCAAGCGUUGUUCGGAAUUACUGGGCGUAAAGGGCGCGUAGGCGGCCUUCUAAGUCGAACGUGAAAUCCCCGGGCUCAACCCGGGAACUGCGUCCGAUACUGGAAGGCUUGAAUCCGGGAGAGGGAUGCAGAAUUCCAGGUGUAGCGGUGAAGUGCGUAGAUAUCUGGAGGAAUACCGGUGGCGAAGGCGGCAUCCUGGACCGGCAUUGACGCUGAGUGAGCGAAAGCCAGGGGAGCAAACGGG